rnacentral:rRNA from 1 species
AUGUCAAGCAGCAGCAGCAGGUUCUGCAGCUUCGACGACCCUGGUGAGUCCACGGUCGUGCUCAACUCCCGCCAACAGGGCGCGAAGGAGUUUCCCCUUGAACCCCAUGACCUGAUUCUCAGGAUGGAAGUACACUUUACUUCAAAGGAUUGCACACAUAUGAAGCGGUUAUUGAUGAAGUCAUGGAAAAGGGACUUGCCAAUGCUACACAGUCAUGAAAUCUUUGUCUGUUUCACUCUUCUUCCAUACAUGAUGUGCAAGGUUCUUGGGAUGCUCGGUACUGUUGCCAGGAGUGCUGAAGCACAAAAUACAAGGGGGUGCAUGAGGAGGCGAGAGCUGACGGCAACCAUUGGAGGAGGUCUGGUCGGUCGAAGAGCAAUAGCUGAGCUCCCAGCCUCCUAA